rnacentral:rRNA from 1 species
GACGAACGCUGGCGGCGUGCUUAACACAUGCAAGUCGAACGAAGAGCGAUGGAAUCUUGCUUCUAUCAAUCUUAGUGGCGGACGGGUGAGUAACGCGUAAUCAACCUGCCCUUCAGAGGGGGACAACAGUUGGAAACGACUGCUAAUACCGCAUACGAUCUAACCUCGGCAUCGAGGAUAGAUGUAAGGUGGCCUCUACAUGUAAGCUAUCACUGAAGGUGGGGAUUGCGUCUGAUUCGCUAGUUGGAGGGGUAACGGCCCACCAAGGCGAUGAUCAGUAGCCGGUCGGAGAGGAUGAGCGGCCAGAUUGGGAGUGAGACACGGCCCAGAGUGCUACAGGAGGCAGCAGUGGGGAAUCGUCCGCAAGGGGCGAAAGUCUGACGGAGCAACGCCGAGUGAGUGAUGACGGCCGUCGGGUUGUAAAGCUCUGUUAAUCGGUACGAAAGGCCUUCUUGCGAAGAGUGAGAAGGAUUGACGGUACCGGAAUAGAAAGCCACGGCUAACUACGUG